GCCUGGAUAGGUCAGUUGGUUAGAGUGUGGUGUUGAUAAUGCCAAGCUUACAGGUUCAACCCCCGUAUGGGACA